GAUGAACGCUGGCGGCGUGCCUAAUACAUGCAAGUCGAGCGAACGGACGAGAAGCUUGCUUCUCUGAUGUUAGCGGCGGACGGGUGAGUAACACGUGGAUACCCUACCUAUAAGACUGGGAUAACUUCGGGAAACCGGAGCUAAUACCGGAUAAUAUUUUGAACCGCAUGGUUCAAAAGUGAAAGACGGUCUUGCUGUCACUUAUAGAUGGAUCCGCGCUGCAUUAGCUAGUUGGUAAGGUAACGGCUUACCAAGGCAACGAUGCAUAGCCGACCUGAGAGGGUGAGGAGGCACCAGGGGAAAGAGACACGGGAAAGGCGAAGACGGGAGGGAGCAGGGGGGAAUAGGCGAAAAGGGGCGAAAGAAUGAAAAAGCAAUGUAGAGGGAGGGAAGAAGGUGUUAGGAGAGUAAACACCUGUUACGAGAGAAGAAAAAGAAAGAAAGUAACAGAGCGGCGCCGGAAGGUACAUAAAAAGAAAGCCACGGCGAACUACGUC
rnacentral:rRNA from 1 species